rnacentral:misc_RNA from 1 species
UAGCAGAGCCAGCAAGG